CCAGAAUGUCAGAAUUAACUAUACAAUUGCUAUUCUUGAGUUCUUUAACGUGAUGAACCAAAAAGCUGUCUCUGGAGCCACCCAGGGCAGCUGACUGAUGCCUUCUCUCACUGUCAUCAUCCAGCACAGAUGGCACUUCCUGUUUGGUGACACCUCACGUGGGCUCCUUCCUUCCCCACGGACUCUGGUAGUCACCGUCCUACACAGUCAAGUGUACAGAGUAUUAGAGGUUUGCCAAGAACACAUCCUUGUGUCUGCCAAGGAGUGUCUGUUGGAGGAAGAAGGUCCCAGCAGAGAACGGUCAGAGGUGAAAUGGACUGCCUCGGGAGGCAGUAAGCUCCUUGUCUCUAAGCAAAGGAGGCCAGCUGAGAUGGAACGGAAAACAGCAUCCGCUGCUUGGCGAUGAACAUGAGCUCCUAGCCCUGCCUGUGGCAGCCCACCCCCCAGGAGAGAGGAUGUGGAAAUUGGCCUCCGCACCACCUGGUUCAACUCCAGCCACUGUUACUUACCAGCUGAGAUCUCAGACUUUUUCAGGGAUCUUCGACAAGUUCUCAGGUGCUCUAGUGCCUAGGGGCUAACAGCCAUCUCGGGCUUGGAGAUGGAGAGAUGAAAGGCUCCGCACAGUUUUCACGGAGUUCCCGGGCCAUCGAGGGAUGCACGGACAAACUACUGUCACCAAAGAGCCAGCAGUAUUGGCAUGUCCUGGGAGCUUGCCAGAAAUGCAGAGUUCCAGGCCCCCAGCCUUCCUGAAUACGAACCUCCCUUGAAAGGGGAUCCCCAGGGGGCUUCGUGAGCACAUCAAGCUCUGAGAAGCAGGCUCUAGUUCCAGCUGUGUCAGAGCCUUCUGCAGAACGUCAGGACAGUCCUGCGGAGAAAAGACAAGACAGGCAGGAAAGCUGGCUUCUCCUCCUGGCUCGGUCGCUGGUUCAUCACCUAAUAUUUGUUCCUCCCGGACUCUCACCUAACCCACCAUGCACAUGCUGACAACGCCCCAGUGCUUUGCUCGGAGCCCCGUGUCACUGUGUGUCUGGGAAGACUUUAAAAAUACAGCCACUAGGUCCCCCUCCACUCAGAGAUUCUGCUUCAGUACAUCUCGGUUAGGUCAGGAUGGUGUGUGUUUAAAGGCUGCCAGAUAAUUCCGAAGAUCAGCCAGAUUUGUAAGCCAAUGGCCUGUCCAAAGGCACUGCUCAGUGGGACAACUGGUACCCCAUGGGACUGGACAGCAUCCGGUUCAGGGAGGCCACAGCCGUGUUGGCCUGAAGCAGGCACUGCGGAGAGACCCAGGCAGACCCACAAUCACCCUUUGGUCUCCCUGUGAGUGUAGACAGAUCCUGCCACAGGAGCUCCCCGAGUCCGUUCCUUUGUAAAAUGAGAUCAGCAGUCACUCGGCCUCCCAGCCCAGUUGGGAGGAUUAAGUGGAACAACUUGGAGUCUGUGCUCUGUGAGUGGUCACGCUCUGUGCAAACUGUCCACCCCCUCCCAGCUGCCCUCUGGCCACCUGCACUGGGACCAGUGGCAUCCAGCCUGGUCGAAGGUUAACGUCUCUCACCACAGUGGAGGGCUUGGAGAGGCUGUGCUGCUGCCCCGGGCCAGAGGGCCAGCAGGGAAGCAGACCCCCAGCUUUUGGCCCAGGUGGUCAUUUUUGGAAUUACUCCACUCUGCACAGCCACCUGCCUUGCCCAGUACUUUUGUGUUUUCUCUAAUCUUUUGGAGCCUUGCUUGUUACACCAGUUGGUCAGCAGGAGCCUGCACGCUGGCUGGCCAGUGAGACUGAAACCAAUUCCAAUGGGACUGAAAUCUUUUGCAUCUGUCACCGUCUCUCCAUGUCCGUGCUCUUUUUCAUCACCCUAAUCCAAGGGCCUUUCAAGAGGCCAUUAUUGCCCUCUGCAGAUGUGUUCUUCUCACGCAGCCAGAGGGGUCCUCUUAAGAUAUAAAUCAGAUUGUGUCAUUGAUUUGACUGGCUUUCUGUUCUUAUUGAAUAAAAUCCAAACUAGAGUAAAAGAAAUACCCUGGAAUGCCUUCUCCUCCUCUUCACGUGAACCUCACACUUCCCCUGAUUUAGUGACCCUGUGCCACCUGGCCAUCUAUUUCUCAUCUCAUGCCAUGCUACCUACCAUGACUUGCUUUGCGAGGCAGAAAAAUUGCUAUGUGUUCUCCUCACCUGUUUAUUGUCCUCCUUUGCACAAAGCUGGCUCCUCUGAAGUUAGGCGGGACCAUAUAUUUGAGUUCCAGUCAAAGGAAUAUGAGUGCAAGUGACAUAUACCAUCUCCAGGCUUGGCCCCCAAAUGUCCCAGGAGCGUUUUCUCUUUGCUCUUGGCUGUGUGCAGAGGAUAUAAUGGACAACUCCAAGGAGACCUUGCAGAUGGCAGAGCACCUAAUUAGAAUGAGUUUGGGUUUUGAAUAACUGAGUGAAAGACCACCCACUGAACACCUUAUUUGAGGAAUAAACUUUUAUUGUCUGAAAUCACUGAGAUUUGGGACUGUGUGCUCUAGCAGCAUUUACCCUGACUCAUGGCCUUUUCUCAGUUCCUGCAAUAUCUUAAGAUUCUGCUUGUCCUAUGCUGUUCCCUCUGCUUGGAAUGCUUUUCCCUAUCAUUCCUCACAUGCUUAUCUCUUUAGCCUCUAGGUCUUCAUUUAGAAGUCACCACCCAACUGUUAGCCUAUAUCUGUGUUCUUGGCUAUUUUUUAAUAGAAGUUUUUAUACAACUUGUGUGUGUCUUUAGAAUUUGCUUUUCCUUGUGUCUCCCCUAGAACGUAAGCUCCUGAGGGCAUGAAUCACGUCUGUCUCAGUCCCCCUUGUAUAUCCUAUAUACACAAAGUAUCUGAGAAUAAGUAGUCAUUUAACAGCUACUAGCUGAUGGAUUAAAUUAAUGAAUGAACCAAUUAUGUAUGAUGCAGAUCAAUUCAAGUAUAUACUGAGCACCAACUUCAUCCAAGACACUUUACACAUGUGUAAUGCAUUCUCUGCUCAAUUCUCACUAAAACCCUAGUGGCAGGGGGUGUUACUAUCCCCCCUUUACCUGUAAGGAUCAAGAGGCCCUGCGAGCAACCCGGACACGCAUCCUUUACAUAUGGCAUCAUCCAAGGACCAUCAUAUUCCUGAAAGCCAGGUGCUCUCACCUCCAUUUUACAAAAGCAAAAACUCCUGCUCAGACAGACCAAGUCACUUUCCCAAGGUCAUGCAGCUAAUGAGGUCAUGGAGCUGGGAUCUAAACCCAGGUCCAGGGAGAGGGAGUGGAGGAGAAAGGGGACAUGCCUCUCUUACAGCACAAUUCUUCAUCAAGUCUCUGACAGCCUCAUUAGAAAUCCCCAAAGAAGAUCCUGAGUGUGGGUGGACAUGAAGACGUGGAAUUUCUCCAGAGUCUUGAGCUUUGUUUGCAUUGGGAUUUUAUUUUCAAUGCAGGACCCCUUCUCCCCUGUGACGCCUGGGAUUAGGGGGUGCCAUUUUGCAUCCUGGGAAUGCGGCUCCCGUGUUGCGCCUGGGCCGGGCUGGGCUGGCCACCAACGAUAAGCUGGAGACGUGAGUGCCCGGGUUCAUCUGGGGAGAGCAGCUGGAGCCAUUGAUAGGCAGAGACGAUCUGUGAUGAAUUAUGGCAGAUGAAAGUAUGAAGUCAUGGAUACUUUGUGGAGGCUGGGCGAGCUGAAGAGUCUCCCUCUCUGAAUGUGUUUGGAGACGCACAGCCCCUUCUGAAACUAGCAGUCAACUUUAAUGGCUAAAGUUUCGGGACUUGGCAAGCUGCAGGUUGGAUGGCGCAGAGAACUCAUGAAUUCUCUGGGGUGGGAGCUAAUUAGGGUGCAAUUUUUCAAUUAUGGAACAUGAGUGAGUCUCUCCCCAACCUCCCCACGCCAUCCCUCAAUAGAUACACUCCAUUUGUCUAUUUUCCUUUAUUUCUUAAUCAUUUGAUGAUAUGACAGCAAUUAUUUGUCACUUGGAAGAGAAAAUCCUCACGGAGCUAUUGUUUUCGCUCCUCCCUGGCGAUGGUUACAUCUGAUGAAUGUUUUGCAUUCCCGCUGCCCCUCCUCCACUCCCACCCGGGGUUGGUGUGGCAACAGGAAGACGUUAGCCUGUGACGCGAGCCUGGUCUGAGUGAAACACCAUUUGUAAAAAGUCAUGGAAAAGAGCAGCAUCGAGUUUAAAAGAGCCCCACGAAGCCCAGAGCUCCAGGCCCACCCACGUCACCUGGGUUGAGGCUGUGCGACAUUUGCUUUGGGAAAUCUGGUCAUUUCCCUGAGCUAAUAAGCCAGCCUUAGAAUCAGGAAUGCAAAACAGAAAUGGAGCAAAAAGAAACAACCAAGGAAAAAAGCAGCACUCCACCAGAAAUGGGAGAACUUAAAUGACUUUGUUUAAAUGUCAUGGUACUCUCAAAACCCUGUUCUCAUAUGUAUGCAAGUUAAUUAAAUGGAAAAAUGUCAAAUUAGUUGCUUAAAAUAUUAAUGACAGGAAUUAUCCCAGAUUCUAGAGCAGGCAGAGUAGACGAAACGGAACUUUUAGGCUUAACCCUUUUCCUGGUCAUCCUUCUCUCGCAAAAUAGAUCUUUCUUUCGUCUGUGAAAAGACCCUGCUACAGGGUUUUGUAGGUUUCAGGCCCAGAGCUUUCCAGUGGGUUUGCAGCCUGUGAUUCUCCCGGUGACACAGGACUCACUCGUGGCAUUUAUUUCCCAGCAUCAGUUUCACGGGGCGCGAUUCGAGGUCCCUAGAAAGGCCCAAUAGUCAUGAAUAUGUCCCAGUGAACUGUUCUGGAGUCUGAGCAAUUUGCCAUUUUUUCUUUUGGUCUUUGAAUGUUAUUUUGGUUUAAAGAGCCCACUAAAACGCAAAAUAAAAGAUUGC
ensembl:lncRNA